UUACUAACUCCCCCAGUCCUGAUGGGAUUAGGUUACUAACCCCCCCCAGUCCUGAUGGGAUUAGGUUACUAACCCCCCCAGUCUUGAUGGGAUUAGGUUACUAACCCCCCCAGUCCUGAUGGGAUUAGGUUACUAACCCCCCCAGUCCUGAUGGGAUUAGGUUACUAACCCCCCCAGUCCUGAUGGGAUUAGGUUACUAAACCCCCCCAGUCCUGAUGGGAUUAGGUUACUAAACCCCCCCAGUCCUGAUGGGAUUAGGUUACUAACCCCCCCAGUCCUGAUGGGAUUAGGUUACUAAACCCCCCCAGUCCUGAUGGGAUUAGGUUACUAACCCCCCCAGUCCUGAUGGGAUUAGGUUACUAAACCCCCCCAGUCCUGAUGGGAUUAGGUUACUAAACCCCCCCAGUCCUGAUGGGAUUAGGUUACUAACCCCCCCAGUCCUGAUGGGAUUAGGUUACUAAACCCCCCCAGUCCUGAUGGGAUUAGGUUACUAAACCCCCCCAGUCCUGAUGGGAUUAGGUUACUAAACCCCCCCAGUCCUGAUGGGAUUAGGUUAUUAAACCCCCCCAGUCCUGAUGGGAUUAGGUUACUAAACCCCCCCAGUCCUGAUAGGAUUAGGUUACUAAACCCCCCCAGUCCUGAUGGGAUUAGGUUACUAAACCCCCCCAGUCCUGAUGGGAUUAGGUUACUAAACCCCCCCAGUCCUGAUGGGAUUAGGUUACUAAACCCCCCCACUCCUGAUGGGAUUAGGUUACUAAACCCCCCCAGUCCUGAUGGGAUUAGGUUACUAAACCCCCCCAGUCCUGAUGGGAUUAGGUUACUAAACCCCCCCAGUCCUGAUGGGAUUAGGUUACUAAACCCCCCCAGUCCUGAUAGGAUUAGGUUACUAAACCCCCCCAGUCCUGAUGGGAUUAGGUUACUAACCCCCCCAGUCCUGAUGGGAUUAGGUUACUAAACCCCCCCACUCCUGAUGGGAUUAGGUUACUAAACCCCCCCAGUCCUGAUGGGAUUAGGUUACUAAACCCCCCCAGUCUUGAUGGGAUUAGGUUACUAAACCCCCCCAGUCCUGUCCUCAACCAUCAGAGAGUCUGAAUCAGUGGGUAGGUUGUUUCCCCCUUGCUAUGCCUCAGUGGGAGAGCACCAGCAGUCGGGCUGAAUGUGAUUUAGACGUUUCCCUUUAGGCACAGAUCUAGGAUCAGCGUAGAGUCUUCAGCUCCGUAACCUGAACCGAUACGGA